AUCCAUCUGAUGAAUCCGAAACAGGACGAAACUCGCUUUGUCUUGGAU
rfam:Schistosoma mansoni strain Puerto Rico chromosome 2, complete genome